rnacentral:pre_miRNA from 1 species
GUAUGACUGUAUGUGGAUGGUGUUCAGCACCAAGGACUGUUAUGUACAUGUAUCACUGUGUGGAUGGUGUUCAGCACCAAGGACAGGUAUGUACAUGU